GACGAACGCUGGCGGCGUGCUUAACACAUGCAAGUCGAACGGUGAACCUCUUCGGAGGGGAUCAGUGGCGAACGGGUGAGUAACACGUGGGCAACCUGCCCCCGGCUCUGGGAUAACUCCAAGAAAUUGGGGCUAAUACCGGAUGUUCACCGCUUCCCGCAUGGGUGGUGGUGGAAAGGGUUUCCGGCUGGGGAUGGGCCCGCGGCCUAUCAGCUUGUUGGUGGGGUAGUGGCCUACCAAGGCGACGACGGGUAGCCGGCCUGAGAGGGUGACCGGCCACUGGGGGACGGAGACAGGGCCCAGACCCCUAGGGGAGGCAGCGGGGGGGAGUAGUGCGCAGGGGGGGGAAGCCUGACGCGGCGCCGCGGGGGGGGGAAUGACGGCUUUGGGGUUGAAAACCUUUGCCGGCGGGGACGAGGCAAAAGGGACGGUACCUGAAAAAGAAGCCCCGCCCAACUCCGUG
rnacentral:rRNA from 1 species